GCCACGGUGGUCUAGCGGUCAGAACACUAGCCUUGUAAACCUGGGGUCCCGGGUUCAAUUCCCGGUGGUGCUC
rfam:Zootermopsis nevadensis contig30268, whole genome shotgun sequence.